rnacentral:rRNA from 1 species
GAUCAUGCUCAGGACGAACGCUGGCGGCGUGCUUAACACAUGCAAGUCGAACGAGAAUCUGUGGAUUGAGGAUUCGUCCAAGUGAAGCAGAGGACAGUGGCGGACGGGUGAGUAACGCGUGAGGAACCUGCCUUUCAGAGGGGGACGAACAGUUGGAAACGACUGCUAAUACCGCAUGAUACGUUUUAGGGGUCAUCCCUGAGACGUCAAAGAUUUAUCGCUGAAAGAUGG